UACGGAGGGAGCUAGCGUUGUUCGGAAUUACUGGGCGUAAAGCGCACGUAGGCGGCCAUUCAAGUCAGAGGUGAAAGCCCGGGGCUCAACCCCGGAACUGCCUUUGAAACUAGAUGGCUUGAAUCUUGGAGAGGCGAGUGGAAUUCCGAGUGUAGAGGUGAAAUUCGUAGAUAUUCGGAAGAACACCAGUGGCGAAGGCGACUCGCUGGACAAGUAUUGACGCUGAGGCGCGAAAGCGUGGGGAGCAAACAGG
rnacentral:rRNA from 1 species